GGGGCGCCGCUUCGGGAGAGCGGGCAGUUCUAGGAGGCCGACCUGGAGAGCCUCCCGGUUCCCCUUCCCCUCUUCCCGGACCCCGCGGGGACACCCCCUCGCCGCCACCCGGGCCUCCCCGAGGGCCCAAUUGCGGGUCAGGCGGCUCGGGCCAGCCGAAAGGGAAGUGGGGCUACCCCACAGCCAGGCAGCGGGGCUGGGGUCAGACCCGGGAGCCGGAGGUUGGAGACGUGCGACGACAGUCACCUGCGGGCAGAUUCCAGAGGGGAGACCCAGGGCUGCAGGGGACUCCCCUUCGUGGCAGCUACCCAGCCUCGGCCCACUGCCAGUGUUACGUGGCUGCAUGACCAUACACUUCUGGGUAGAGCCCAGUGGAAGACAAAGAAGACUCAAGGAAUAGCCCUUGAGAUCCUGAACCAACUUUGAAGGCAGAGAAGUGGGCUAGAAGAAGUGGGGUUGGAGCCUCCACCAAGGACAAGAAGACCAGAAGAUGCAGGCUACUGUGGGCACAAUGCCUAUGAAUUAGCCCUGCUCUGCAAGAAGCAGCCAAAAAAAAAAAAAAAGAUGCAGAGUGGUGGCGUGUGCACAGCUGAAUGCAGUCUGUAGACGCAGUAGCUGUGUGGCCUGUACAGAAUUAAAACAAUUUGUGAGACAACAUUAAAAAAAUCUGGAAAUUUCACAUCUACAUUUGAAUCUGGAGCUUUCCUUAGAAAAACGGGACACUCUGGUAGCAGUGGACCACGUUCUGGCACAUCCCCGUUGGCCCUUCAAGUGGGGCAUGGGCUCCCCAGGUCAGCACAGGCCCACCCUCCAGGGUGACCACCCUCCCCUUCCUUCCCUUCCCUGCCAGGGUCUGCAGGCAUUGAGGCAGCAACUCAGCCUGACCUCUGCCUCUCCCAAGCUAAAGGGCAAGGAAGGCUAUGGACUUUGGGGCAUUUAUUUUGAGUCUCUUUCCUAAAUUCGAGGAGACUGGAAAUAAAUCAAGCCUGGCCAGGAGGAGGAGUCCAGCUCUUCCUGUCCCACUGGCCCUUCCCUCUUGGGCCUCAUCUU